rnacentral:rRNA from 1 species
UACGUAGGGUGCGAGCGUUGUCCGGAAUUACUGGGCGUAAAGAGCUCGUAGGUGGUUUGUCGCGUCGUCUGUGAAAUUCCGGGGCUUAACUCCGGGCGUGCAGGCGAUACGGGCAUAACUUGAGUACUGUAGGGGAGACUGGAAUUCCUGGUGUAGCGGUGAAAUGCGCAGAUAUCAGGAGGAACACCGGUGGCGAAGGCGGGUCUCUGGGCAGUAACUGACGCUGAGGAGCGAAAGCAUGGGUAGCGAACAGGAUUAGAUACCCUGGUAGUCCAUGCCGUAAACGGUGGGCGCUAGGUGUAGGGGUCUUCCACGACUUCUGUGCCGUAGCUAACGCAAUAAGCGCCCCGCCUGGGGAGUACGGCCGCAAGGCUAAAACUCAAAGGAAUUGACGGGG